AUGCGAGAAACCAAUCCCCUUCUCAGGUCCGCAAUCUCAGCCCUGAAGCCUAGGCCGACAGCUCUUUUCGUCAAUAUUUUCGGAAUAGCAGCACUGGAUGUCGUUGAGGAAUACCACAUGUUAAAGUACGUAUUUGUAACCACCACACUGCCGCUUGCGUUAGCAGUAUAUAUUAUUAACAUCCUCGACAAGGAAGUUGAAGGAGAAUACGUUGAUCAAAAAGAACCGCUAAGGUUGCCAGGUUGUAUGCCGGUUCGACCCGAUGAUGUGGUUGUCCUGUUGAUGAACCGGACAAAGCAUGAAUACCGUGUGUUCUUACAAGUUGGCUUAGAGAUUCGUCGAAGUGAUGGGCUUAUGGUGAACAUGUGGGAAGAUUUGGACACUAAAAUGCUUAAAGCAAUGAGAGAAGAGGAAUGUUACGACACACUACCGGUUUACCCAGUUGGGCCGUUGUUUAGGCCAGUUGAACAGUCGGGCUUGAAGAGCGAGUUAUUGGAUUGGCUGGAUAAGCAACCGGUUGAGUCAGUAAUUUAUGUUUCGUUUGGGGUUUCUGGAAAGCUCUCAGCCCAGCAAAUCACUGAGCUUGCUUGGGGUUUAGAGCUUAGCCAACAGAGAUUUGUGUUGGUGCUAUGCUCAAACAACAAGGACAUGUUGGGUUACACGUGUGAGUGAAGUCCCACAUUGAAUAAAGAUGAGAAGAAUGAAUAGUUAAUAUAACAUAAUUGAGCACAUACUCAUUAGGCUUAGGCCUUUUGGGUUAAAGUGUGUCUCUAUAUGUUAUAUUAAUGAUUCAAGAAAGCUCCCCAAGGUGUUUAUUUCCCCGACAAGUGGUAUCAAAGCCCAUGGUGGUGUGGGGCAAAGGUGGCAAAAUUAUCGAGGUUCCUUUCACAGUUGGAGCGGGAACGGGGUGUGUGUACUUGAAGCCCUUUCGCAAAUGGAGCAGGGUAGGUUCCUUUCGCAGUUAGAGCGGGGACAGUAUAUUACACCAAGCAAGCUCAUAAAGCUCACACAAACGAUCUUGGAAAAGGCCCAACAAAGGAGUAUUAUUGCCAAUGGUGGUAGACAAUGAUGAGGUGCGAGGUUCCCAUGGACAUGAACGUGCGGGGUUCCCAUGGAUGUACAUGCGGGGUUGACACGUGGUUCCCAUGGAUGGCGUACGAGAGACCCAUGGAUGACCCGCUGAUGAAGUGAAAAGCCCGUUAGGCAAGAGGGAGCGAGUAGGACUUAUUCAUGACCCACAGAGAAGUCUUAAAACCCACAAAAUGACAGAGACUCACACAUGAGGGGGAGAUUGUUGGGUUACACAUGUGAGUGAAGUCCCACAUUGAAUAAAGAUGAGAAGAAUAAGUAGUUAAUAUAACAUAAUUGGGCACAGACCCAUUGGGCUUAGGCCUUAUAUUAUAUUAACUACUCAUUCUUCUCAUCUUUAUUCAAUGUGGGACUUCACUCACACAUGUAACCUAAUAAUCUCCCCCUCAUGUGUGAGUCUCUGUCAUUCUGUGGGUUUUAAGACUUCUCUGUGGGUCAUGAAUAAGUUCUACUCGCUCCCUCUUACCUAACGGGCUUUUCACUUCAUCAGCGCGUUAUUCAUGGGUCUUAAUUACUCAAAGGAAACUCCCCAAAGUGUUUAUCUCCCCAACAAGUGGUAUCAGAACCCAUGGUGGUGUGCGGUAAAGGUGGUGAUGUGUUCAUGGUCCCUACCCAGCGGGGACAGAGAAAGCCUAGACGGCCCACACACAAAAAUCCUGGAGAAGAAAAAAGAAAAAAGCCCAACAAAUGAAUAUUGCUAAUAGUGCUAAAUAAUGGUGUGGUGCGAGAUUCCCGUGGACAUGAACGUGCGAGGUUCCCAUGGAUGGCGUACGAGAGACCUAUGGAUGUCGCGCUGAUGAAGUGAAAAGCCCAUUAGGCAAAGGGGAGCAAGUAGGACUUAUUCAUGGCCCAUAGAGAAGUCUUGAAGCCCACAGAGUGGCAGAGACUCAAACAUAAGGGGGAGAUUGUUGGGUUACACAUGUGAGUGAAGUCCCACAUUGAAUAAAAAUGAGAAGAAUGAGUGGUUAAUAUAACAUAAUUGAGCACAUACUCAUUGGACUUAGGCCUUUUGGGUUAAAGUGUGUCUCUAUAUGUUAUAUUAAUUAUUCAAGGAAUCUCCCCAAGGUGUUUAUUUCCCCGACAAGUGGUAUCAAAGCCCGUGGUGGUGUGUGGCAAAGGUGGCAAGGUUAUCGAGGUUCAUUUCGCAGUUGGAGCGGGAACGAGGUGUGUGUACUUGAAGCCCUUUUGCAAAUGGAGCAAGGUAGGUUCCUUUCGCAGUUAGAGUGAGGACGGUAUAUUACACAAAGUAAGCUCAUAAAGCCCACACAAAUGAUCUUGGAAAAGGCCCAACAAAGGAGUAUUAUUGCCAAUGGUGGUAGACAAUGAUGAGGUGCGACGUUCCCAUGGACAUGAACAUGCGGGGUUCCCAUGGAUGGCGUACAAGAGACCCAUGGAUGGCGCGCUGAUGAAGUGAAAAGCCCAUUAGGCAAGAGGGAGCGAGUAGGACUUAUUUAUGGCCCACAGAGAAGUCUUAAAACCCAUAAAAUGACAGAGACUCACACAUAAGGGAGAGAUUGUUGGGUUACACGUGUGAGUGAAGUCCCACAUUGAAUAAAAAUGAGAAGAAUGAGUAGUUAAUAUAACAUAAUUGGGCAUAUACCUAUUGGGCUUAGGCAUUUUGGGUUAAAGUGUGUCUCUAUAUGUUAUAUUAAUUACUCAAAGGAAACUCCCCAAGGUGUUUAUCUCCCCAACAAGACAAACGUAUUAACUUAUUGGAUUACUUGCCUGAUGGGUUCUUAGAACGGACACACAAGUUGGGACUGGUGGUCACGGCGGACUGGGUCCCACAAUCAGCAAUUUUGGGCCAUGGAUCAGUAGGGGGGUUCUUAUCACAUUUUGGGUGGAAUUCAGUUGUGGAGAGUAUAAUUAGCGGCGUGCCAAUGAUAGCAUGGCCUCUAUAUGCGGAGCAUAAAAUGAAUGCUGUGUUGCUAGCUGAGGAGUUAAGAGUGGUUGUGCGUCCCAAAAUUGCACCAACUAAAGGAGUUGUAGGACGGGAGGAGAUUGAGAUGAUGAUUAGGAAAGUAAUGGAAGAUCAUGAAGAAGGGAAGGCAAUGAGGGCUAGAAUUAAGUAG
rnacentral:sRNA from 1 species